UGGGGAAUAUUGGACAAUGGGGGAAACCCUGAUCCAGCAAUGCCGCGUGAGUGAAGAAGGCCUUAGGGUUGUAAAGCUCUUUCGCCCGCGAAGAUAAUGACGGUAGCGGGAGAAGAAGCCCCGGCUAACUCCGUGCCAGCAGCCGCGGUAAUACGGAGGGGGCUAGCGUUGGUCGGAAUUACUGGGCGUAAAGCGUACGUAGGCGGAUGCGCAAGUUGGGGGUGAAAUCCCGGGGCUUAACCUCGAAAUUGCCCUCAAAACUGCACGUCUUGAGACCGAGAGAGGUAAGGGGAAUUCCUAGUGUAUAGGUGAAAUUCGUAGAUAUUAGGAAGAACACCAGUGGCGAAGGCGCCUUACUGGCUCGGUACUGACGCUGAGGUACGAAAGCGUGGGGAGCAAACA
rnacentral:rRNA from 1 species